UUUUUAAAAGAGAAACUGUCCUAGAAAGUGCCUUUUGUCUUCACCACAGAACAUCCCCGGUGGUGCGACUGCUGACCAUGGCAGGCAUUUGUUGAACCUCUGCCCACAUCUGGGAUGAGCACAGUGUUGCUGGCUUUUUGUGGAUUCCUGAUUCUUUAGGAGAGAGACUGCUAGCCAGCCGACCGUAAGGAUUACUCUUGCAUCAUUCCUUCUAGGCAAUACUCACAUUUUAGCAGAGUCCACCACGGCAAGUUUGCAGAGGGAGGGGAGUUCCAGGUUCCUGGUCGCCAUGAUACUGCUGGCCCAGGUGGGAUAGACCAGGCAUGGAGGUGUCAACUGCACGGAGGAGUGAUGGAAUUAGACCAGCCCCACAGGAAGAAACUCCGGAGUCCCAAAGGUGCCUGGGGAUUCAUUGAACUCUGCGACAAGA